GGGAGUCUCCUAUCUUCUGCCAGUACCAAGCGCUCGCAAGUAAGGUAAACUCUCAGCCCUUCCAUGCUCUCGACACCCAUGAACCAGAUCAGAUUAAAUACAGAAAAUCCCAUCAACGUUGGCCUACCUUUUCGAGUCACUCAACCUGAUCUGAAGCAGCAGCUUGGCUUCUAGAAUUGGUUCCUGGUCUGGUCCUUAGUUCAACAUGUUCUGAACAGAAGCCUGUUGUCGCACGCGAAAUUAUCAAGCAGCACCGAUAACCUCCGAGGACCCGGCAGCCGCAGGGCGGGAAGGCUCACGCAGCGAGUCAAGGAGCUGGAGCCACGGAGUCUUGGGAAUCAACGGCCAACCCGUGGUGACAAACGAGGGAUGGAGGGGCAGGUGACCAGCUCCCGCCCUGUCUGCUGUUAACACCCUACGUGCAUGUCGCCUGCGUCUCCGUUCCUGAGUCUGCGCACGUCUGGACCUGACACCGUCUCCCUCCCACCCAGGGAGGGUAUUCCUCUUGUGUCCUUAGCACCCAGAGCAGGUUGGACUAGUCUCCACUGCCCUUUGGGAAUCUGCAUUUAUCAGCGAUCUUCGACUGCAGGCCGUGUAGAGAGCUGUGCUCCCUCCUGGCUCCUCGGCCACACAGUCAUUUCUCACUCUGCAUCCACCAGAAGACCCCUGACUGGCCCCACAAACGUGACUCCUCCCAGGAGAGACUUCCGGAACUUUCAU
rnacentral:lncRNA from 1 species